GAUGAACGCUGGCGGCGUGCCUAAUACAUGCAAGUCGAGCGAACAGACGAGGAGCUUGCUCCUCUGACGUUAGCGGCGGACGGGUGAGUAACACGUGGAUAACCUACCUAUAAGACUGGGAUAACUUCGGGAAACCGGAGCUAAUACCGGAUAAUAUAUUGAACCGCAUGGUUCAUUAGUGAAAGACGGUUUUGCUGUCUCUUAUAGAUGGAUCCGCGCCGCAUUAGCUAGUUGGUAAGGUAACGGCUUACCAAGGCAACGAUGCGUAGCCGACCUGAGAGGGUGAUCGGCAACACUGGAACUGAGACACGGUCCAGACACCUACGGGGGGCAGCAGUAGGGAAUCUUCCGCAAUGGGCGAAAGCAUGACGGAGCAACGCCGCGUGAGUGAUGAAGGUCUUCGGAUCGUAAAACUCUGUUAUUAGGGAAGAACAAAUGUGUAAGUAAAUAUGCACGUAUUGACGGUACCUAAUCAGAAAGCCACGGCUAACUACGUG
rnacentral:rRNA from 1 species